rnacentral:lncRNA from 1 species
CUCUGGACAUUGUAAAGAGAAAAUACAUUCUUCAACUUGUAGUUCAUGAGGGGGAUGUUCUUGAUGUAAAGUAUGCGGAUGAAAGCUCUCCUGCACCAAUUCCUUAAGAUGAAUGAAAAUAAAGACAAGCUGCUGAAGCGUCUAAAUCAGAUGGAGUCAGAGAGAAGGCAAAAAGAGGAGUGCAAGCUGCCUGAAAAGAGAGCAAUAAAAAGGAAAAUAAUAUUCAGUCCAGAAAACCCCCCCAUCAUCAAGUCCAGAUCAAGAGAUUUAAAAAAGUAAAAUCUAACUUCCUGGUAAAUUAUAUCAACAUUGUUUAAUGCGGCCUUUAUUUUGGGAUAUACACUUGUGGAUCUCUAGAGACCACAGGCAAAUUUAAAAACAAAAUGUAAUUUUGUAACAAAGUAAUUAAAAAAAUAAAAACAUGCAAUUUUCCUGUUUAUUAACAAAGUAAUUAAAAAAUAAAAACAUGCAAUUUUCCUGUUUAUUAAUGUUUU